UUAUAAUUUUUUUUCUGUAGCUUAGUUUAUUGUAAGAAUACAGUAUAUAAUACACAUAGCAUGCAAAAUAUGUCUUAAAUGUAAUGCAUGUUAUCAGUAAGCCUUCUGGUCAACAAUAGGUUAUUAGUAGUUUGGGGGGAAUCAAAAGUUGUAUGCGGAUUUUUCACUGUGUGGGAGGCCAGCUCCCCUAACCCUAUGUUGUUCAAGGGGCAACAAUAUUCUUUCUCACUGGCACUUUACUUUCCAUAAAUUCAAAUCCCAAAAGUAGAACUGCAAGUUCAAAAGGAUUUUUAAAAACAUAAUUACUGUCAGAUUACAGAAAGUUUCCAAUUUCCAUUUUCACUACCAAUGUACAAUGUUGGCGUCCCUGAAUCCUUAUCAGCAAUGAAUUUUUAAAUAUACUAUAAGAGAUGAAAAAAUUUUUUUUAAAUUUGGAAUUCCCUGAUCACUAAUGAAGUUAAGCAUCAAUAUUAUUCCUUUAAUAUGCAAAUGCUGAAAAUACAUUUAACUAUAAUAGAUGUCAAAAAUCUGUAAAUCAGGCUAGGUGUGGUAGGCACUCACCUGUAUUCCCAGCCACUGGGAGACUUGAGUCCAGGAGUUCCAGACUGUAGUAUGCAAUGAUCAAGCCUGUGAAUAGCCACUGCACUCCAGCAUGGACAACAUAGCAAGACCCCAUCUUUUUUUAAAAAAAAGAGUCUAUAAGACAAAGGUCCUCAUAAAUUAAGAGAAGCCAAGACAGUCACUGUGACUUCAGAAUAUUUUAAUUUUUUUUAUUAUACUUUAAGUUCUAGGGUACAUGUGCACAACGUGCUGGUUUGUUACAUAUGUAUACAUGUGCCAUGUUGGUGUGCUGCACCCAUUAACUCAUCUUUUACAUUAGGUAUAUCUCCUAAUGCUAUCCCUCCCCCAGCCCCCCACCACAGAGCAGGCCCCAGUGUGUGAUGUUCCCUUUCCUGUAUCCAUGUCUUCUCAUUGUUCAAUUCCCACCUGUGAGUGAGAACAUGCGGUGUUUGGUUUUUUGUCCUUGUGAUAGUUUGCUGAGAAUGAUGGUUUCCAGCUUCAUCCAUGUCCCUACAAAGGACAUGAACUCAUCCUUUUUCAUGGCUGCAUAGUAUUCCAUGGUGUAUAUGUGCCACAUUUUCUUAAUCCAGUCUAUCACUGAUGGACAUUUGGGUUGGUUCCAAGUCUUUGCUAUUGUGAAUAGUGCCGCAAUAAACAUACGUGUGCGUGUGUCUUUAUAGCAGCAUGAUUUAUAAUCCUUUGGGUAUAUACCCAGUAAUGGGAUGGCUAGGUCAAAUGGUAUUUCUAGUUCUAGAUCCUUGAGGAAUCACCACACUGUCUUCCACAAUGAUUUAACCAGUUUACAGUCCCACCAACAGUGUGAAAGUGUUCCUAUUUCUCCACAUCCUCUCCAGCACCUGUUGUUUCCUGACUUUUUAAUGAUCGCCAUUCUAACUGGUGUGAGAUGGUAUCUCAUUGUGGUUUUGAUUUGCAUUUCUCUGAUGGCCAGUGAUGAUGAGCAUUUUUUCAUGUGUCUGUUGGCUGCAUAAAUGUCUUCUUUUGAGAAGUGUCUCUUCAUAUACUUCACCCACUUGUUGAUGGGGUUGUUUGUUUUUUCUUGUAAAUUUGUUUGAGUUCAUUGUAGAUUCUGGAUAUUAGCCCUUUGUCAGAUGAGUGGAUUGCAAAAAUGUUCUCCCAUUCUGUAGGCUGCCUGUUCACUCUGAUGGUAGUUUCUUUUGCUGUGUAGGAGCUCUUUAGUUUAAUUAGAUCCCAUUUGUCAAUUUUGGCUUUUAUUGCCAUUGCUUUCAGUGUUUUAGACAUGAAGUCCUUGCCAUGCCUGUGUCCUGAAUGGUAUUGCCUAGGUUUUCUUCUAGGGUUUUUAUGGUUUUAGGUCUAACAUGUAAGUCUUUAAUCCAUCUUGAAUUAAUUUUUGUAUAAGGUGUAAGGAAGGGACCCAGUUUCAGCUUUCUACAUAUGGCUAGCCAGUUUUCCCAGCACCAUUUAUUAAACAGGGAAUCCUUUCCCCAUUUCUUGCUUUUGUCAGGUUUGUCAAAGAUCAGAUGGUUGUAGAUGUGUGGUGUUAUUUCUGAGGGCUCUGUUCUGUUCCAUUGGUCUAUAUCUCUGUUUGGUACAAGUACCAUGCUGUUUUGGUUACUGUAGCCUCAUAGUCUAGUUUGAAGUCAGGUAGCGUGAUGCCUCCAGCUUUGUUCUUUUCGCUUAGGAUUGACUUGGCAAUGCGGGUUCUUUUUUGUUUCCGUAUGAACUUUAAAGUAGUUUUUUUCCAAUUCUGUAAAGAAAGUCAUUGGUAGCUUGAUGGGGAUGGCAUUGAAUCUAUAAAUUACCUUGGGCAGUAUGGCCAUUUUCACGAUAUUGAUUCUUCCUAUCCAUGAGCAUGGAAUGUUCUUCCAUUUGUUUGUGUCCUCUUUUAUUUCCUUGAGCAGUGGUUUGUAGUUCUCCUUGAAUAGGUCCUUCACAUCCCUUGUAAGUUGGGUUCCUAGGUAUUAUUUCAAAUAUUAUUGUAAAACAAUGAGAUAUUGAAACAUACAUUGGAGCAAACUCUUCUUCAUUCUUAAAUCCUUUCAGCACAGAGACAAUCAACUGACUGUGUGGGUACUACCUGACCACUAUUGGAGUCUCUUUCAUCUGCCUGAGUCUGUGCAACAAUAUGAAAUUAUAAUUUUACUAUGCACCUAAACUUUCCUCAAUAUAUUGAAUUCUUACAGAAUUUGAAGAGUCAAAUUUUGUAAAUCCAGUUACCUUUUUCCACUACUCUAGGCCUCAUAUACUAUCUGGCCUAAGGGUUAAAGGUCCACAAUUGAAUAAGCCAAACUUGUUAAUUUGAGGGUAAAGCAUGUCAAGAAAUCUGGCCUUAAUGUCCAAUGAACUUAUGUCAUAUUAAGUAGCUGGAUAGAAACAUGCAUUCCAAAGUGGAUGCUGUUUAUCAGGCUCAGUGCUCUAUUCUUGACAGUAAAUCCCAGAAUAGGGUGGAUGCUUUAAUUUUGUAUUAAAUAGUAUUAGGUGUAAUAUCAAAACCACUAAGGGAACACUAAUGAUGAGAAUAGGAACACUAGCUGUGGAGCUGGCAAUUUUCUAUAGAAAUCCUAUCUCUUUCAAUUGCCUGUUUAGUGGGCAAGUGUUUCAGUUCCUAUAAUAUCUAAAUUGGAGAAAAUCACCCCACCUACUUCUUCAGGUGUUAUGAUAAUUAUGAGGGAUAACAUCUUUUUAAGUGUUUAACACAAUUCCUCACACAUAGAAAGCAAUAAUAAACAUUGGCUAGCAUUGUAAGGAUGGAUUAUUGUCUUCCAAUGUGUUUUCAUACAUUUUCUUUCUAGGAUCUUGAGUGAAACAUGUGGAUCUAGAACAAGAACAAAAUGAUGUUACCUUGAUGAUCUCUAUGUAGGGUCACACUCAAGGCAUCUUAAAAUAUUUUGCUGGCCAAAAAAGACACCUCCUGUUCUAAUUGGGCAUUGUCCUUUUCUUUAAACUAUGCAGACAAACAAUAUUAUAAAGUGAGAACAUCCGCAUAAAAAACCUAAACAUAAAUCUUAAUAGUGAGUUCAUGAAAAUUCUUACUGAUGAAAUGGCAAUGUCACAGACUGACUGUUUAUGUCCCCCCAAAUUUGUAUAUUGAAAUCCUAACCCCCAAGCUACUCGUGUUAGGAGAUAGAGCCUUGGGGAGGUGAUUAGGUCAUGAGGACAAGAUUCUCAUGAAUGGGAUUUGAGCCCUCAUAAAAGAGACCCCAGAGAGCUCAUUGGCCCCUUCCAAAGUAUGGGGAUACAGCAGGAAGUUGCCAUCUAUGAGCCAGAAGGGUGAACCUCACCCCAGAUGCUGAAUCUGCCUUGAUAUUGGACUUCCCAGCCUGCACAACUGACAAACUGGAAACACAGGUUAUAUCACCAAGGCUUUGACUGAAACAUCAUGUUUUCAGAUAUGACCAGAAGGCUUUAGGGGACUAAGGUUGGCUUUAUGGAACCAAUAAAGUACCAUCUUGGAAAAACUGGCUCUAGGGUUCCCAGACUUACAGGCACUGUACGUGGCACUGAGAAUGCAAAGCAAAACGAGUCAUGGUCUACUGGCGGGAGCCUUCUCAGCGGAGAAAAGAUCAACAAGAAAAGUGCCUGCUGGAGACCCCUCCUAGGGCAUAAACCAAUAUAGAGGUGGGGCAGCUACGUCAGCCUGAGGUGUCCUUAGGCAGAACAGAAAGUGAGAAUCAGAGCAGUAUCUCAUUUCUGAAAACCUGGAUUGUAGCUUUCCCUGGGCUGACUGUCAAAGGAGGUGGUUUUAAAAAGCAAGCCAAACAGGUUUCCAUCCUUUAGGAAGACCCUGGAACGUGCCAGUUGAUUCUGACAAUUUCUCAUGAACAGAAACACCUAGGAAGGGAGAACUGGUGAGUCUUUUCAAGAGGAGGAAGUCCCUCAAAAGGGGCUGUGUUUCGCAAACGGCGCCCCAAAAGGGCUGAAAUACUUCGAUCUGGAAGAAAAAGACUCAGGCACUGAGGGAAGGGGAGGGUGCACAUCUGGAGUAAUUUCAAGGCUUUUUCCGUGUUAUCUGAUGUGGCAACAAGUAGAGAUUUGUUCGUUUUA